CCAUAGUGAGCUAAAAGAGAGCACAGAGAAAGCGGGGGCUUCCAUUUUUUGACGAGACCGAGACAUAGAUCCCGUUCUCUCCUGCCCGUUCCAGGGUUUCUUCACCCAAACCUGAUGAGAUCCGUGGAUCUCCUCAACAAGAAACCCUAGUAAUCUGAUCUCAGAUCUUGUUCUUGAAUUCCUCAUUCAGGAUUUCAGGGCUUCGUCCGCUCAGGAUCUUGUUCUUGAAUUCCUCGUUCAGAAUGCUGAGGGAUCUGAGGAUAUUUCGUCGAAAUUCCGGGAAGUUCCAGGAAGGAAACAAUGAGAACGUUCCGGUUGGUGGAUCGGAGUCCACGGCUUCUCAGGUGGACUCCGAUCCGUCCAGGGAUCCUCUCAACGCGAUUCAAGAAUGUGUGCAAAACCCUAAGCCGGGGGCAGAUCAACGAACGAUUUUGAAGAGGAAGACGGAGACUACCCCUUCGAAGAACCAGAUAAAGGGAUCUGAUUCGCAGCACUUUCCGUUUCGUACUCCCGAGAAGCCAGCAGCAGCCAGGAAUAGAUUUGGUUGGGUCGCGAAGGGUGAGCAUGGGGCAAAUGGUGCGGAGAAUGGUGAUGAGUUGAGCCACCAAGGUCCCAGCCAGCUGCCGCCCCUGAGCCGUGGCCCAAGCUUGGGAAUUGGGGGCAGUUAUGGGACUCCUCGUUCGUAUCGGGUGGCUGGGAAGGCUUCGUCGGUCCACUCCGAUAGCAGUUCCACUCAGAGCACACCAACCAAGAGUGUUACAAAGCCUACUUACUCUGGGUUCAGCGGCUCCCGCCCUCCUAUGGGCUUGGGGAAUCGGAUGAUGAGCUUCUCCAUGGCAUCAAAAGGGAUUCCGAUUUCAUCCACGCCACCAACAGUUGUUAAUACAGCUGAAGUGCCUCGUUUUGAACUUAAAGAGGACCCCUCCUUCUGGAUGGACAAUAAUGUACAGGUUGUGAUCCGUGUCCGUCCUCUCAAUAGCACAGAGCAAAGCUUACAAGGGUACCACAGAUGCCUGAAGCAAGAGAGUGCGCAGAGUAUUACUUGGAUUGGACAACCAGAGACCAGAUUUACUUUUGACUAUGUAGCAUGUGAAACAAUAAAUCAGGAGAUGCUUUUUCGGGUGGCUGGUCUGCCAAUGGUUGAGAACUGUAUGUCUGGUUACAAUAGUUGCAUUUUUGCAUAUGGUCAGACGGGGAGUGGGAAGACAUAUACAAUGCUCGGUGAGAUUAACGAAUUGGAAGGGAGUCCUAGCCCAGAUCGUGGGAUGACGCCACGGAUAUUUGAAUUCUUGUUUGCAAGAAUCAGAGCGGAAGAGGAAAGCAGGAGGGACGAGAAACUUAAAUACAAUUGCAGGUGUUCCUUCCUAGAGAUUUACAAUGAACAAAUCACCGAUCUUUUUGACCCUUUGUCUACCAAUCUUCUUUUACGAGAAGAUAUACGGAAGGGCGUGUAUGUUGAAAAUCUCACCGAAUUUGAAGUUGAGAAUGUAAAUGAUAUUCUUAAGCUUCUUAUUCAGGGUGCUGCAAAUAGGAAGGUGGCGGCAACGAACAUGAACCGUGAGAGCAGCCGUUCUCACAGUGUUUUUACAUGUGUCAUUGAGAGUAGAUGGGAAAAAGAUUCAACCAGUAACUUACGUUUUGCAAGGCUGAACCUUGUGGAUCUAGCUGGUUCAGAAAGGCAAAAGACAUCAGGUGCUGAAGGCGAGCGUCUUAAGGAAGCUGCAAACAUUAAUAAAUCAUUGUCGACACUUGGUCAUGUAAUAAUGGUUCUAGCUGAUGUGGCACAUGGGAAGCAAAGACACGUUCCAUACAGGGAUUCAAGGCUGACAUUUCUUCUCCAGGACUCUCUUGGUGGCAACUCGAAAACCAUGAUCAUUGCAAACAUCAGUCCUUCGAUCUGCUCUGCUAGUGAAACACUAAGUACCCUCAAAUUUGCUCAGCGGUCAAGGCUCAUUCAAAACAAUGCCGUUGUGAAUGAAGAUGCUUCAGGAGAUAUUAUAGCUUUGCAAAGUCAAAUACGUUUGCUGAAGGAGGAGCUCUCAGUCCUUAAGCAUCAAAAAGUCUCAAGAUCGCUAUCAUUUCGUAAGGCAGUAUUUGAAGAUUUUGAGAAUGAAGCUUGUGAUGCUUCUGAUGUUGAAAAAUUGGAGGGAGUGGCUGAAGUGGAUGCCAAUGAGCUCCACCACGAUGAAACUUUGCACAUUAUAAGAGUUUCAACUAAACAGUUGAAAUCACUGGAAGCAACAUUGGCCGGUGCACUGCGAAGAGAAAAAAUGGCAGACAAUGCUAUCAAACAACUUGAAGCUGAAAUUGAACAGUUGAACCGCUUGGUUCGUCAAAGAGAGGAGGAUACUCGGUGCACUAAGAUGAUGCUAAAAUUUCGGGAGGAUAAGAUUCACAGAUUGGAGAACCUUCUGAAGGGCGUGGUGACAACAGACUCAUAUUUACAGGAAGAAAAUAAUGCUUUAUCCGAACAAGUACAGUUGCUUUGUGCAAGAGUGGAUAGGAAUCCAGAAGUGACUCGCUUUGCAUUGGAGAAUAUCAGGCUCUUGGAUCAACUCAGAAAGUACCAAGAUUUCUAUGAAGAAGGAGAAAGAGAGCUUUUAUUAACCGAAGUAUCAGAGUUACGCAAUCAGCUCUUACAUGACCUUGAUGGAAAGUCUGAACAUGUGCAGCACCAUAAGUUAGAUUUGGAACCAAAGGAGGCUGGACAACCUCAACUGGAUAGUUUGGCCAGAGAAAAAGAAGCUUUAUCUAUAGAGCUAAAGAAGACCUGUCAAGAGUUAGAAAAUUGCAGGAUUGACCUGAAAUCUUGCUUAGAACUAAAUGAAAAACUUACGAGGGAGAUAAGCAAUCUGCACACUGAAGUAAACAACAUCAAGUCUACAAGCAAUGCUCAACAUGUUAUUGUCAAUAGUCGGAAUAUCGCAUCAUGUUCAGAAUCAACCCAAACAAACGCUCAGGCUCAUGGAAAUAGGGUACAAUGCCCACUUGAAAUGAAGCAUGCUGAAGAGAUUUUGAACUUACAGCUGGAGUUGGAUAUACUUAAAACAAUUCUAGGUGAAGAGAAGUCAUCUCGUGUAGAGGUUGAGAAGAGGGCUACUCAUGCAAAUGAUCAACUUAUAACAGCAAAUGGAAGGAUUUUGCAGAUCAGCAAACAGCAUGAAGAUAUAAGUAAUGAACUAAAAGAUGCAAGAUCUGUCAUUGAAGCUCAAGAAUCCCAACAUGUCCUUUUGAUAAAUGAGCUGGAGAAACAAAGGGAUAACAAUAAUCAUUACACAGAGUUACUAAAGAAUCAGGAGCAGGAGAUCUCUACAUUGAGAAAGAAGCUUGAUGAUCAUUUUGAAGGGAAAGAGAAACUAUACUUUGCAAAUGAAGAGCUUACAGAUCAGCCUUUUAAACAUGUUGAAAAUGAGGACUCCCCUUUGCAGGUGAAGCUUAAAAAGAUGCAAAAUUCCCUUGAAAAAGCAAGGAAUCUGAACAUGAGGUACCAAGGUGAUCAGGCAUCUCAGACAUCUCUUGAGCAAGAAAUGGAUGAAGUCCGUAGACAGGUUGAGGUGGAGACAGCUGAAGUGAUCGUAUGCUUGCAAGAGGAACUUAUGGCACUUCAACAACAGGUCGAUGAUAGUAACAGAAAUGAGUUAAUGGCUAAACAGAGCAUGGUGGUACUGGAAAGGGAGAUCAAAGAUCUUCAUGAAAGCCUAUGCUUGGUGAAGCAGGAAAAUGAAAGGCUGUGUGAACUGGUUGAAGAGAAAGACAGGGAUCUAAGAUCCAUGACCAAUGACUGGGAAAGAUUAGCUUAUGAGAUUGCGGAUAUUCUUACUGAUGGAAAUACAGCUCUUGAGGAAGCUUCUGAACAGGUUGCUUCUAUUUCAGAGUCCUUUCCACAACGAAGUUGGAUCUGUGAGAAGGUUGAGAGAAUGAUAGAGAGACUUUCUCAGAAAGAUAUGUUGAUUGAAGAACUUCAGAAUUGUUUGGAAGAUGCACAGAAUGUAAGAUGCGAUAUGGAGUGGAAGUUGAGGUCCUUAAGAGGAGCAACACUGGCUAUAACUGAAGCACAGCAGCAGGAAAGCAUGGAUAAAGAAAGAGAAAUUCUUCAAUUGACAUCACAGUUAUCGGAAAAGACUUCUUUAAUAAUUGAUUUAGAGAAUAAUAUUAAACUUCAAAAGGAACAGAUUAGGAAAGCCGAGGUUUGUUCAACUGUUGCCUUCAUAAUAGUGAACAGAUUAUCCAAGAUAAACACAGCGCACCUCCAGGAACUUGAGCAUGUAAAACUUCUGCUCGAUGAAUCCACAGAAAUGAUGUUGCAGAAGGAUUGUCUUUUACAAUGUCAAAUGUCUUUGCAUGCUGAUGCAGAAAAACAAAUUCAAGAUCUCAGCUGGCAGCUAGAAAAGUCUCAGGGAAAAAUUGCUGAAAUACUAAGACAUGUCCAGGAGAGGGAGCAACCUCAAGCUUUGGAAUGCCUAAAAAAGGAAGAGGAAGAAGUUGCUUUGUCUAAAAUUGUAGAAGAUCUUUCAAAAGCAAAGAGGGUGAUAAAUGAGUUUGAACUGGGAGUGAGUAUGCUGCAUGCUUGUAUGAGAGAUAGUGUUGAUCUGGCUGAUGGCCUUGCAGAAGUACAUGACUCUGGGAAGAACUCUGAUGAAGGGGCAGGCAACAGCUCCGAGGACCGGAUUGAAUCAAAUCGAGUUGUUAACAGCAACAUGAAACAUAAUGCUGGAUGUAUGUCUGGAUGUAGCACAGGGAGUGCAAUUGGCAAGAAUGCAAAUGAGUCUGAGUGUAGAAUGGUUUUAAAAGAUGAUUCUGAUAGAGAGACAACCAUUCUCCUCCUAAGGAAGGAAUUAGAGUCUGCACUUGACAGACUACAGGAAGUGCAGGUUCAAAUGACUAAACUACUAAAUGAAAAAGACGAGAUUAAGAAAUCUGAGAAACAAGGCCGGACAAGCAUCGAGCAUCUUAUUGAUGAAGUAUUUCGAUUGAAAUCAGAUAUUAGUGAUAAAGAAAUACAGUUUGACCUUCGCUUGCAGGAGUUGGAAGAUAAACUGCAAGCAGUUAAGGCAAAUGCAAUAGCAUCUAGUGAAUGUUGGUGCAAAGCCAAAGAGGCACUUGAGCUUGAGAUCAAGGAUGCAAAAGCUGUUGCUGCCCAAAAGACAAUUGAGGCUUCCGUUCUUCUCACAAAGAUUGAGGAAGCACAAGAAACCAUGAGAGAUGCUGAUGUUACGAUCAAUGCACUGAUGCAAGCAAAUGAAAUUGCAAAAUUUGAUAUAGAAAGACAUCAGGAAAUUGAAACUACAUUAAACUAUGAAAGGAAUAGUUUAUUGAAUAAGGUACAAAUUCUGCAAUCUUCAAUUCAUACGCAGGAACAGGAAUAUAACUUCAUGGAGAAGAAUUUCCAGUCAAACCUUAUGGAAGCAAAUAAUUUCGUUCUGGAGCUUAUGGAUAGUUUUAAGCAUCUACAGAUGGCUUUCACAGAAAAAUUCAAAUUUCUAGUCUGUGAUCUUGAAUGGCUCAAGGCUCAGGUUCAACACUUUGCACAGUCAUCAAGGACUUGGUUGGAAGAAAUUUGGUCAGAGAUUAUUGGAAGAGAUUGUGCUGUGUCUGUGUUGCAUCUUUGUCACAUGGGAAUUUUGUUAGAGAGAUUAACUGGGCUGAAUGCUGAAAAUGAUUUUCUUCAUCGUGGGCUGUCUGAAUCUAAUUCUGUAAUUGCUGACCUGAGAGAACAUAAUAUCAAAGCAAAAAAAGAACUUGAAAUGUGCAGCAUUCUCAAGGGCAAGUUACUUGUGGACAUCAAUAAGAGUUUUAGCCGCAUUGCAAAGAAAGAAGAUGAAACAACAGAGUUUAGAGCAAGGCUAAGUUCAUUUGAAAAGAAAAUUUUGCAUUUACAAUUGCUAGAAGAAUCAAUGUUGGCUAGGUCAAAUUCUAUGGGCACUGAACUUGCUAUUUUGGUGAAGGAGUUGGAGGCUAAAAACAGAAAUGCCCUAACAGCAAAAUCAGUUCAGGAUAAAACAUUGAGGGAAAAAGAAGAACUAUAUAAACAAUUGGAGAAUGCAUCAAGAAUGCUAGACAGUGUCCAGGGUAUUAAUGAAAUGUUUAGGGACUCACUCCUUGAAGAGUUGCCUCUGCUUGCGGGUGAUUCCCAUCCUGAGUGUCAAUUGAAACUAGAAGCUCUGAAGUCCAGCAACAUGGGAUCUAUCAAAGAAUUUGAACUGUACAGGAUUCUCAUCAGUUGUCGAACUGAGUCUGUUGUGAUUAAUUUGUUUGCAAAAGAUAUUGAGCUACUUGUUGUGCAAUCAGAGAUGGAGCACAAUAUGGAGGAAAUUGAUCAUAUGGCUUCACAGAUAACUGACUUGGAAAGCCAGAGAGACAGUUUCAUCAUAAUCAUUGAUAAAAUUAAGAUGGAAAUGAUUCUAAAUAACAUAGACAGGGAUCAGAAAAGUAGUGAAAUUCAUUUUUUGCUUCUGGAAAAUGAAAAGCUGAGAAAUGACCUACUGAAGAUGAAGGAAGACCAUUUCAGAGUGACUGAACAUUUGCAGGAGAAGGAAACAGGAUUCGCAACUUCUCUUAGCCGUAUAAAUGCUAUCAAUCAGGAAAAUCACAGGUUACAGGACAGAAUUUUCUCUUUGGAGACCUACAUUACAAAUCUGCAAACAGAUUUAGACAGGAAAAAUACAGAACUUCAGAAGGUACUUCAUUCACAUUCUAUCAUAUCUAAGGAACUUGAUUUGAAAACUGAGACGACUAAAGUUCAAAUUGAGCAAGCAAAGUUUAUGAAAUCUGAGAAUGAUUUGUUGCAAAAUGAAGUAAGGGCAUUUAUGACCAAGAAAGAUGAAAUCAUUGCGGUGCUUGGGUUCAGGCUUAAGAGUGGUUUUGAUUUGGCUCAAUCAAUAGACAUCAUUGCGGACAGGAUGUUCGAUUUGAUAGAUGACCGAAUUGUUCUCAUGAUGGAUAGAAUGGAUCAAGAAAAUUUUGAGCACAAAGAAGCAGCAUCAAAGUUUGUUGAUGAGUUAAAUUUCUUCGAGCUCUCAAUUGAAAAACUAAUGUCUGAGAUUUCUUAUCUAAAGUCUGAGUUGAUGCGGAAGGAUGAAGUCUUAAAAGGCCUGCUAUUUGAUCUGAGCUUAUUGCAGGAGUCAGCAUCUAUUGCAAAGGACCAAAAAGAUGAACUUGAAGAGAUGGCUACUGCAUUGGAAUCUGUAGAAGAGGAACUGGCAUCAAAAUCAUGUGAACUUGAUGAGGCCACUGCUCAUGGACGGGUGCUGGAAGCUGAACUACUUGAAAAAAAUGAGAAAAUAUCUGCUCUUGAGUUAGAGCUUGUUGAGAAACUUGGUAAAUUGAAGUUAGUUUCUACUGAGAACCUUGGGUUAAAAGCCGAACUGGAAAACAUUAUAGGGAUAAAGAAUUCUACAGAUGAAGAGUUAAGAGAGAAAAUUAAGGCUACUGAAAGAUUAGAGGAAGGGCUACUUGAAAUGAGCUCUUUGCUUGGCCAAAGGAGUCAUUUGCUUGAAGAGUUGCAGAAUGACAUGACUAAACUUGCAGAUGACAGGGAUCAUCUUGAUUCUGAGGUUCUUGACCUGAAAGAGAAGCUGAAAAUGGCACAAGCUCUUGUUGAAGAAAAUGAAGCUAUCGCUACAGAAGCUCAUCAGUUAGCAGAAGCAAAGAAGGCUUAUGCUGAAGAAAAAGAAGAGGAGGCCAAGCUAUUGGAGAGAUCUGUUGAGGAGCUUGAAUGCACUGUAUAUGCAUUGGAAAACAAGGUGGAUAUUGUAAAAGCAGAAGCUGAGAGACAACGAUUGCAGAGAGAAGAAUUAGAAAUGGAACUUCAGGCAGUGAGAUGUCAAAUGCUGACAGUACCUGCCUCUAGUAAUAUUUGGAAUACAACAGGUGACAAUAAUGACCCAACAAGGCACCUUAAACAGAAAAUAACCGAGCUAGAAGAGGCCUUGCGGAAUAUACAAAUUCUUCAGAAGGAAGUUGCAGAAAAGGAUGCAGAGAUUGUCCAAUGCAAAGCACACAUAUCUGAGCUUAACAUGCAUGCAGAGGCACAAGCAAGAGAGUAUAAACAGAAGUUUAAGGAAUUGGAAGCCAUGGCACAACAAGUUAAGACUGAUCCUGCCUCCUUCAACGCUACAAGCUUCAUGUCAGCAAAAUCAGAAAAAAGUGCCCCAAAGUCCAGGGGAUCAGGUUCCCCAUUUAAAUGUAUUGGCUUGGGACUGGUACAGCAAAUGAAUUCGGAGAAGGAUGAGGACCUGAUUGCAGCAAGGCAUCGAAUAGGCGAGCUUGAAGCCUUAGCUGCAAGCCGACAGAAGGAGAUCUUCAUGCUGAACACACGACUGGCAGCAGCAGAGAGCAUGACUCAUGAUGUUAUCCGGGAUCUGCUAGGAGUUAAGUUGGACAUGACAAAUUAUGCAUCAUUAUUAGAUAACCAUCAAACUCUCAAGGUAAAGAAGACAACUCGCCAUGAUGGUGAUGAAUUGCAAGAAAAGGAACAAGAGGUAAUCAAGCUGAGGAAGCAGCUUCACGAAUUCAUUGCAGAGAGGCAAAGCUGGUUGGAUGAAAUAAAUCAAAGACACAAAGAAUUGGUAGCUGCACGUGUCACAGUGGAGAAACUUCAUCAGCGGGACCAGUUCAUUAGCACUGAAAAUGAAAUGUUGAAGGUGGAGAAUGUGAACUACAAGAAGAUGACCAUGGAACUUGAAGAUGAAGUGAAAAAGCUCUCCAGCCAACAGAAUAUCCAGCAGCGCAUUCAUCACCAUGCAAAAAUUAAGGAAGAGAACAGACUCUUAAGAUUACAGAAUGAAGACCUAAAUGCAAAGUUGCAUCGAUUUGAAGCAGUCCUUUCACGUGUGGAAGAAGAGCUUGCUCGCUAUCGAGCUUCUUGUGGAAAGAACCCAUAUGUUGACAUAGACGAGGAGGAGCAGUUGAGGAAGAAACUACAGGAUAGUGAAGAGGACAGAAUUCAAUUGGCCCAAAAGCUAUCGAGCUUAUGUACCAGCAUUUUGAAGGUUGCUGGACUGACACAGUCUGCUUCCGAUAUAAGCCCCUUGGCAGCACAAGAUGCACUAGACCAAAUAAAGGAUCGUAUUAGAAAACUGGAAAAUGAAGCGGAAUAUUUGAAACUAAAGUGUAAAAUAUUAUGCGAAAAGAUUCGGCUGUUGGAGCUUGGGCAACAAUCAUCACCAUUUCGCUUGAAUACAGACAAGAACUUUCUACCAUCAAGCACAUCAGAGUCGUCUCCAUCUUUAUCGUCUUCAUGACGGGCAAACAAAUGUUAUACUUAUACAUGUUAGCAGUUAGCUAACGAAUUAAGGUGUAUGGUGAUCUUUGGAUUUGCAUACUCUUGUAUCUCCUUCGAAAGCUAAGGAUUCAGUGAUUUGGAGAGGGUCUCAUGGUGUCUUUACAGUGAACAACAAUUUUUUGAACUUUGGAGGCAAACUAGAGGCUUUCACUUCGGUUAGUUGGAAAGUUCAGGUGUCAGAGAAGGUCAAGGUGUUUUGGGGAUAAUUCUAAAGGAAAGAUUCUUACAGCUGAUAAGUUGGUUUAGAGAUCUUGGCUGGCUCCUUCAGAAUGUGUUCUUUGCUAUUCUGCCUCAGAUACAGCUUCUCACAUCUUUCUUCACUGCUCUUUUUCUCUGAGUACAUUUGGAGUCACCUCAAAGUCAGAGUUAAGUAGAGAGGUUGGGUAGGAUCCUUGGCUACUUUGGGGUGUUUGGAGGCACAAGAGAAUAACGAGGAAGUCUAGAUUUGGAUGGGACAUUUUGGGUACGGUUGUUUGGUGGGAAAUAUAGGAGAGGACUGCUAUCUGAGAAAUAUCAACAGGAUGUUAUCUCUCUUUUUUUUUCCUGCCUUAUUAAAAGCUAUGUACAUUCCAUAUUCUCAAUGAAAUGUCUGAUGGGCUGAUUGCCUAUCUUUUUCUCCAAAAAAAAAA